UCUGCUUCCCACCCUUAGCUUGCUUGGUGCUUCCUCAAGUGGUGAGCCUGGUGUCUGGACACAUUCCAGCGGUGUUGCCAACAGCCAAAGGCAAACUGGCCCCAAGCUGGAUCCCUCAUCCCACCAGCGCUGCUCUCCUGGACCUGGCAGCAGUCAGCGUGCUGCCAUACCAGCACUGUCUGGCUGGGGCAGUUUGGGUGCUGCCAGUGCCAGGGAGGAGUGAAAGGACAGGGUUAAAGGCGCAUUGCAAUUGUCCAUCUCUGCUUCUUUCCCCAAACUCCUUCAGAUGGGCUGGUGGCAGUGCCAGUAUCAAAGCUCAUCUGCAGAGAAGGCCAAGAGAAAGGCUACAGUAAAUCAGUCCUACCUGUGACUGGUAGCAUAGGGGCUGAAAGCCCACUGAGAGCACGUGAAUAGGUGAACUUGACGGUACUGAAUUUUGGAUGUUGUUACAAGAUUAUUAAAAGAUAAUGCAAUAACAAUAAUGCUUGGCUGCAGAUUAAUGCCUUUAGAAAUUCAAGAUACUGGUAGCAGUUUGCUAAACUGUUUAUUGGUUAAGCAGAUCUUCAAGGCUCAGUGUGCUCCUUUUCACCAUCAGCUCACUCUAGAGCACCAGGAAUUCUUGUCUGGAAGCAGCUCAGAGGCGCCUGGCACAAACAGGAUAUUGCCAGUGCAAAACCCAAGGCAAAUUGUGCAAUUUUACAUUUACGUGGGUAAGCAGCCAAAAAUUCUUGUGUGUACUUCAAGCAUAGCAAAUACUAUUUUGUUCUCAGACAUAAAUGUUAAGAAGACACAGUAAAAUGUAAUAUGAGCCCCUUCUAUAAUCUGUUACAUGCAUUAUCAGGUCUUUGAUAGUGGCCUGUAUUCCAGGUUUCAGAUGAUGUCCCUGUAAUGCUAGAACCUGCCCACUGGAGGACAUUUUUUCUGCAGUCUCAUGAGUCUGCCCUGAAAUAUGAGUGUUUAUAUCUUUUAAAACAUAUUUACCUCAUCCAAGGCCAUCUGAUAUUCCUAUUUUCUCUGGAUAUGCCUAAUUUGUCUGUGAAUCCUAUUAAGCUAUCUGAGUGCAAUGAUAAUAUGUGGCAACAAGUUAAUAGGUUGUGCACAUGCUGUGCAACUCUUUUUUUGGAAAUCAGUAGUAAAUCUUCAAUGAUGUUAAGAUCUGUUUGUUUCUUCAUGCAGAAUUCCUUGUUCUGAUACAGGGAGAAGGGGUAAAGCUCACCCCAUUCUUUUCCUGCCUGCCAUUGUUUAUGCAGCUGAAUAUGUGCCCUUGUGCUUGUGUCUGCCCCAAGUGAAAAACUUAGCAUGUCACCGCUGAGUUUCAUUUCCUUCUUGGAGGUCUCCAAGUUCUGCUCUAUACUAUGUGCAACAGUGACCAACCAUUCAAUCUGAGUUGCAAUAAAAUUCUCAAUAUUUUUCUUAUAUGGAUGCUUCCAUUCUAGAAAUAUCCUCUGGCAUGGUGCUGGAGAAACUGCCAGACUUGCACCAGUGGAAACUUUUGAAGUUAUGCAGAGCAUUUUCAGACUUGGUGGUUUGCUAGCAGAGCAUCUGUAGAAGAAAUAUAGAACAAUUUCUGCACUGACUGGAUUCCCACAAGCACCUGGGAACUGAUGGGCAGCACACUUUGGGGCAAUACCUGUUCCUGAGGCUGGCCAGGAAUUCUUCCUAAAAACCUCCCCUGGGUGACAAAUAUUCUUGCUCUUCAAGCUCUUUUUCACUGAGAAGAAAUUACUUUAGAAAAUCAAGCACUCCGAAGUUCAGAAAUGUCAAACAUAAAGCUAUUUGGACAUCAUGAAUUCAGCUCUAUUUUGUCAGUGAGUGGCAGGCACAUUGAUUACACAUGUCUAUUUGGUGAGUGCGUGGUAUUACAGCACUCAGGAAGAGCUGAAGGCAUUGCAUGAAGGCUGCUCUUGUCUCUGUAAGCCCUACUAGCAGCCAAAGGCAGGUAACAAAUGAGGGAGCUGAGAUAUGGCUGGGAAGGAGAGUCCAGACUGAUGGCAGAGACAUAUGAAUGCCAGCCAAAAAUAUAAUGUAAAACUAGACCCUGAAAGGGUUUGUGUCAGGGGCAGGAAACCCUACAAUUGAGAUAAUGUAAUAGGGAAUUGACCUGGGGUAGAUGUACAUGUGUUUGUGGAAAGCUACUUUUUGUUGAUACCAUUUCUUGGCCUAUUGACUCCUCCAUGGUUUUUAUGACUUGAGUUUGCACUGUGGCAGCACUGUGGGAUGGCAUUUUUCACUGCUUCCUUGAGCACUGCUGGAUGUAAGUGUUUGAACAUCGUCUCUGUGCUCCAGGAGAACACUCCUCCUUAACAUUUCUCUGACUGUAGGAAAUCAGGGAGACUUAUCUGCUGUGUUCAUGUGCCAAUUUUUGAGAGACAGGAACUACAGCUGAGAUUUGAAGCCUUUCGUUGUACCAGUUUUGAGGAUGGUGUCAUCUGCUCCCGUGAAUAUAAUAUGGAGACAGUGCGGGUAGGCAUUUAUCCUAUGGGUUAUAGUGGAAAUAUUUUUUAUUUUUUAAAAAGGAAGUUCUUAUUAGAGAAGUUAGGAACAUCCAGACUCCUGAUUUGUCCAGUGUUGGUGCUCUGUUCAACAGAUGGAUCCUUUCAACUGGGAAUGUCUUAUCUUUGGCUUUCAUCCAACUGCCUGAAACCCUAUCAAAGCCAUAAAUAUCACCUUAGCCCUCGAACUGGACCUCAAGGAGAUGAAAAAUCCCCCCAUCCAUAAGCCUCUGAAAGGUAUGAUUUGCAAACAGUUUUUCUUUUCUUUGACUGUGGAAAAAAACUUUUACCAACAACAAACCCAUGUACAACUAAAUACAAAUCCCAAAUCUAUUGCUCGAGCCCUGCACUUAGCUGAUGGAAAUAAUGAGUCUGUUACCUACUGGUAAGUCUUAUAUGUAGUGUGGUAAAUCAGUCCAAAAUUUUGUAGGAGUUCCCUUGUGGUGCGUUUUCUUGGCAAUAAAUAAUCUCAAGCCAUAGGAAAAGAAAAAAUUAAUGAAGUUGCUUAACCAUACUGGUGAAAUUAAACUAUAUGAUUUCUAACACCUAUUCAUUUAUUCACAUGCAUAUGCAUAUUAUAUACAUAUGCAUAUUUUAAACAUACAAAUAUAUAUGUAUAUAUAAAGGUAUAAAACCUCUUUACAGAACAUAUCAGAUACACAGGUUUAUGUGCAGAAUACAACUUCUUUGCCUAAUUACAAAAAUGUUUCACAGUACUUUGUUGCUCUCGUCAAGCCUGCUUUUAUUCAUAACCUUGAAUAUCCAUGUUUUGAACUGGAACGGUUUAUAGCAAGCAGUAGUCUUCUCACUCAUAAAUAUCAGUAGGUUUGAAAUAACUAUGAAAAAAAGUUUUCAUCUUUUGCCAUUGAUAAUGGGUGUUUUUUUUUUUUAAUUAAUGGGCAAAAGAGCAGUUAAUCUGGCAUAUAUUAAUAUCAAUUCAUUUGGCAACUUUGUAAUUUUGCACCCUGCCUCAGCAAUUGAGUGUACAUAUUUGAGAAGUACUAUAAACAUAAAAGCUCUGACAGUUUAUCCAACGAAAGUAUUCUCCCUGUUUCAAUCUUCAGUUAUAGUAUUGGCAUUAAAUGCAUAAUCUUGAUAAAAGCAAGUACAGAAAAUCCCCACUUUCUCCAGUAAGUAACAAGUGACAUAACAUCUCCUGGUGCAUCUUCCUGCAGCCCAGGGGCAGCUGCUCUGCUGGCCGGCCCCACAGUGGUCGGUGCAUGAACAAACGUGUUAUUCAGCGCCGUACGGCCAAGUGAAUCCUUUACUGCUGCUGCAUAUUCCAGCAAAAGCAUUUCCUAUGGAGCUCUAUUAAUUACAAAUUGAAGGCAUCCACAUAUUCAGGAUAACUGCAGCAUUUUCCUCUGGAAUGCAGGAGAUAUUUGGCAUUACCAGCUUCAAAGAGGGGGAGAGGGAGAGGAGGAAUUUAAUUCUGCAUAUGUAUGAGGUAAUGUCAAUUUCUUGCAGUCAGGAGACUGGAGCUUAAUUGAUAUCAUAUGGCUAACAAAUGUACUCCAAAACCAGCCUCAUUUGAUCACUUUUUAAUAACUAAUAACUCUCAGUGGGAGUCCAAAAUAUGUACGUCUAUAAAAGCCUGCCGGAGCUGCCUCCCUCGCCUGCCAAAAUUGCUGUUACUGAAACAAAUGUGUACCUUCAGCAGUCCUUGAGCAGACACCAGCCCUGGCUGGACACGUACUCUGUCCUCCCGCUGCGGCCGGGAGUGUCUGGAGGAGCUGCACGCAGCACAGGAUGCAUCCUGCUGGCUGCCAUGAUCUGCCCGCCUGCGGCUGGUGUUGGGCUGGGCCUGCGGCCUGGCACGUCCCUCCUUGCCCUGACUGCUUGGGGAAAGUGCAUCUGCCUUGGCUGCAGAGCUCAGGGGCAACCAGCGAGCUGUCUGGAGGUGUUCUGCCAUAAGUCACUUUUCCCACGUGUGAGCCACACAUGGGAGUAAGGACUCAUCCUCAAUUACAGAUGGGAGAUCAGCAAGGGCUCUGCUCCCAGCCCUGGGCACCACCACGCUCCUCAAGAGAAUCCCUGCCCUGCCUCAAGCCCAGUGCAGCACUGGGGCCGUGGUGGGCUCAGCUGUGUACCUGCGUGUGCCCUGUGUAUGUGUCCUUGCAUCCCUGUGUGUGUCCCCACAUCCUUCUUUGCAUUCCUGGCCCCAGCGCUGUGCAGCUGCUUACACAAACACUUCCUCUGGUACAACCAGAGCUGUGCAGGGCAGUGGGCAUGCACAAAUGGCUUGUGAUCAGAAGUGGGAAAAUCACCUUUUCAAGGGAGAUUUCAGGCCUCACUUUGUGUUUUAAAUGAAGGGCAUCAGAGAAAGGAGGGCUGGUAUCACAUGCUGUUAUGUGAAGUGCCCUAUGUGCAAAUUGGAGCACUGACAGUACUUUCUGCCUUAUACAAUGUUAAUAUGUGCUCAGGCAGUGUUCAGUGCCACCCAUGUUAGGAAACAACGGGGUGAAGUUUCCAACAACUUAACCUUCUCUUUGUUUGGUGCCUCUUUCUGUGACCUGUUAAGCUGAACAUUGCACUGGGACAGAAGAAAAGCAAAUGCCACAUUCUGCACAUUCAAAGCAGCCAGCCAAGCUGCAUUUACCACGCACGCCUGGGGGCAGGACAUUUCCUCUGCAAUUCAGCAGUGCUGCUGUAAGGAAGAAUGAGAAGAACAGGAGUUGAUCUUCACGCCUCUCCCAUAAAGUUUGGGCUUUGCUGCAGACAAGAACCACUCAUCAAGCACCAGUAUAUGGAGUUCAUCACACUGUAAUGCAGACCUCCUUGUGUGUCCUGCAUCUGCAGCAGUGGCCGUGGGCAGGAAAAGCUGCCGCCACCUGAAGCACCAGCCGUGCCUGGCACCCAGCACAGCAUCAGUCCUGCAGGCCAUCUCCUGCCACAGCCCUGUCCUCACUGGGAGCUCAGAUGUAGCACUGUGCACUUAAUUGUUUCCAUCUCUACAAUAAGACGAUGCAAAAAUUCUUGCGACUGAGCAUACAAAGGCACUCGUAAAAAAAGUCUAUUAAUUUUUAUGCCUCAUAAAUGUAAACCACAAUUCACUUUAAGCUUGCUAUAAAAACAUUCCUCUUAAAAUUUGAGUUUAUAGGACACAGAACAAAUAGGAUUUCAGAAAAAAGUCUGGUUUCUAUUCUCCUGAGAACUCUAUUAUUGUUAAUUAAUAAUUCUGUUUUGCCUUUCUUUGUUUUCAAGGGAAAUAUUGCUGAAGAGCUGCUGGUUUAAUGCUUUUCUUUGAUAAAUAUUUUAUCUAAUAGUAAUCACCAUCUUGUAAUGCAAUUGUAGAGUUUACAGCUGUUACACACUGAAAUCUAAUGCAACUGAAAGAAGCAAAAGCAGAAUGAGAAAUCAUCAAACCUUUAUAUUUUCAGAGGGGUUGAGGAGUGCAUGGUAUUAAUUUCCACUGAAGCCAAGCAGUGUGGUGCCGUGGUGCUGGUGCCAUCCAUUUCGCUGAGUGGCAGGAUCAGGCUGCUGGUGUUUAACCCCACUUUUAAUCAUUUUUUCAGAAAGUGGGCAUGUGGUGCGGCAGUGCUCAUGAAGGUGGCGGUGCUCUUUGGGCUGUCAAUAGGGCCCCAGUGAGUGGGAGCGGGCCCUGGUGUCCCUGCUGCUUGCCCACAGCUCUGUGAAAGCCAUGGAGCUCCCACCAUCACCAGCUCAGCACACAGCUCCCGGCCCAGUGCAGAAUGGCACUGAGGGUGGGAGGACUGGGAGCACACAGGGUGUAGUUACGGGCUGUCAGAAUGAGGGCCUUAGGGCUGCGUAUUAAUGCGACAAUUCUAACUACAAUAAAACGACCAUUUUUCAGAAGUGCUGAACUCCCACAGCUUUCAAUAGCCUUAAUUUUUAUUUAGUAUUCUAAAUAUCUGAACGCUUUCCUUUCACUCCCUCAGUCAUGUGUCAAAGAGCCUUCAGCGUAACUGUUUCAGGAUGGGUUCUUUUGUUCUGCUGAAGCUUGCGAGCUAUGUGGGUUAGUUUGUUUUUCCUUUAACUAUUCAGAAAAAUGGCACUGUUACCAUACAGCACUCCCUGCCUAUGCAAAAGCCUCAGGCCAAGCCCUGUGUCGCACCUCAGCUCAUUGCAAUGGUCAUGCCUUGCUCCACUUUGGCCCUGGUAGAAGCCUCCAAGCUUCCCUGGUGCUGUCUGGUCCUGGGCUGGCAAUAUACUGUUCAGUAGGAAAUGGAGGGCCUUAAGAAUGAUUCUUGCUGUGGAAAGAAUGGUCAAAGGAAAGUGAGCAGGACUUGCCCCUGUGCAGACAACAAGAGCAAUGGGUUUUCUACACAUACGAAGUGAGCGGAGCUUCUGUGAGCAGUUCGCAGGACCAAAUCCUGUUCAAGGAUUAAUUGACUUCCAAAACCUUUGGCUCCAGUUUAUGCAUUUUGGGGUGGAAUUUAGAAGAAAAAAAAAUAAUUAUCGAACCGGAAAAGCGAAUACACAGCUGAGCAGACAGAGGUUUUAUCAUUCCCUCAUUUUAUGUUUUUUUUUUUGCCGAAGGGAACCUUUUAUAAUAACUGUGCUAGUACUCCUCCCUUCCCUAAAGACUACAAAAAGGUAGAUUAUAUUACCCAUCACCCAGCACUUCAUUCUGCUGAGUUCCAGCACACCUUGGGACCAGCAGGUGCAGUACAGCCCCGAGCGCCCAUGGCGCUGCCCCAGCAGCAAGAAGGAAAAGCUGUGCUGGCUCCAUGCUGCUCUCAAGGGGCUUUCAUGGGCCUGGCCCAGAGCCCAGCAGCGCCACUCCUCGCUAUAUGGAAAUUAAAGUUGGAGAGGUGACUGAAGAAUUUUAUUACUGCUUCACGCAAAUGCUGAGCUCCCAAGCCAUGCCAGCCAGCCCCUGCCCACUGUGGGUGUCUGUGUGUGGCAGGUGGGGAGGACGUGGGUGGAAGGAGCCUUGUGGAGCAGAUAGGCUCUGAGUGAAACAAACUGUUUCUGAUAUAAUCUUUAAUCACCUUUGUGAACCUCAGGGUGAUAAGGAACCAGCCACUUUGCAUUGCUAAAUAUUCUGCGUCCAGGAUUGCUAUGCCUUGCAGCUGAAGCCAGAUUUUAGAAGUGUUUAUAUACCUAAUUCCCCCUAAAAUCAAUACUUGCUAGUUAACACAUGUAUUUAUCUUCACACACACACACUUAAAAAUUGCAUACUACUGAAGUGCUGCACAAACACAUUCCUUGGUCUCCAGAUAUUAUUUAGAAAGGCAGAGGAGUUGGAGAAGAACCUGCAGCCCAGUCUGUGCACCAGACUCCCGCCCGUGGGUGUUCAUGCUGGAGGUGCAGGCGCAGCUUUGAUCCUUCUACAGGUGGGCAGGUGACUCGUCUGUGUCCUUCCUCCUCCAAUUUAACCUUCUCAGCCUUGAGGGUAUGCUUAUGGGACUGGGGAGCUUGAGAGUGCUUUUCUCCCCUAAACGCUUGUGUUAAUUCUGCGGUGUGUAAGGGAAAACGGUGGCCAAGACAGCAGUCAGGCUUUGGUCUUCCACCCAUCCCCUGAAUAUUUCCAAGGGAAGUGGCAGUCAGCCCAAUGUCGGGUGGUUUUUCCAUUCUCAAUAGCAAAGAACAGAGGAUGGAGCGCUCCCUGUCCCCAGCUGAAAGGAGAUGAUCUGGGUGUAGCUAAACAUCAACCUAUAAUGCCUUGAAUUAUGUGCUAAACUAAAGAACAAAGCCUGAAAGCAGAUGGUGAUUGCUUACAGUGCAGAGUAGAAAGGAAUGAACACAAAAAGAGCAAAACGCUCUUGUGGAUGCUUGCAGAGGAGGGCUUCUCACUGCAUACUUCUAUCAAAGACAUUCAUUUGCUAUUUUAUGCCUGGGGAUAAUUUUGCCCUAAUGAAUCCUCACUGCUGAACUACGGGAGGGCAGUGGCAAAAUUCUGCAGGUGUUGGCUGCAGGCACAGAGGUGGCUGUCCUGCUUGAGGAAUGGGCAAACAGCACCUGGUGCUGCUCCUCUGCUGGGUUGUGGCUCUGAUGAUGACUGCUGGCAGAGAGGAUGCUCUAGCCUGAGCCUUAAUUAAUAAAUUAAUUAAUAAAGAACCUAAUGAAAAACAAGCCCUCCUUUCCUCCCUCAGGUACACACUAUCAACAUUUUUUAUAGUGUGACAACAAAAUUAUAACAAGACAUAAAACGCAAGCUUUGACUACUGCUUGUGCCAUUUCACUACUGAACAGACUCCAAGAGCAGUGGGCAUCCAGGUUUAAGAGCAAGCCCUGUGCUGCCAGCCCUCCCUGAGUGGGCUGUAGGGACUUUGCACAUCCCAGCUUGUGGCAAGGCCCUGGCACGAGGCCUUGCUUCCCCCUGCUGCAACACAACUGUGGGCAGAUUGAUGGUGAGGGGUUGGAAGGAGAGCCACAAAUCUCACCUCAAUUACAGCCAGGGAGCUCAAUCUGCCUCUGUCCUCCUAUUGAUAUCAUCUGGGCAGUAAAUUAUCAUAUCAAAGGAAAAAAAUCAAAGCAGCAAAGUGAUAAUCAUCUCCAAUUCCUAGAGAAUAAACAACUAAUGAGAGAUUUAAUGUACUGCAAAUGCAGGAGGUAAAAAAAAAAUAAUUACAGACCUCUGAGAAAAAUGGCAAACUGUCAAAGACUUCUAGGAAAAAGGAGGAGAAAGUUUUUGGGGCAAUGCUUGUUAUAUGGAAAAUACAGAGCCACCACCCAUAAUAACACAGAUCCAUUAGGAAAAUUAAGCACAUGCACUUGGUGUGUUUCCUUGUUCUCUGUGUUCAUUAAAUUGUGUUUCAGCAGGACACCGUCUUGGAGUAAAAAUCGUUUCCCUGGUUGCAGGAAAAGUCAAAUUUCUCUGCUGAUGCUUUGGGAUGGAUAAGAGUGCAGACAGGCAUGGAGCCUUUCAGCCCUAAGGGCUGGUUGAAAAUAGCUAUUGUGAGAAGUUCAACCAAUCUGGAGGCAGUAAUAGGGAAAAUCAAGUUUCUGUCUGUGAACCUGCAACGUGUCUGCCUGGAGCUGGGAGUCGGCAAGCGAUAAGGCUGUGAGGGACAGCAGCUCUGCCAAGGGGAUCUGCUGUGUUUGUAACCGGUGGGUGGGUGACGUGGUGAUCCAUGGUGCUGUGUCUGAAAGGAGAUGAGCAACAAGACUGACUCUGUGAGUCAAGGCUGUACUGGAUGGGAGAUAUGUUGUUGGUGAGGUUUUUAAGGCUGAACGUGUAAGAACAUUGCACCUUACAGGUACCACGGAGCAGGAAUCUGCAAGAUCAAGCCAUGCCCUGGACCUAGAGGAGGAAGAUAGUGCUCGGAUCCUAGGUCUGGCUGUGUGUCUGAGUUGCUUGCAGUGGGGACCAAGGCGGGAAAGGUUUGGGGAGGUGGUGGGUGGUAGGCUUGGACUCUGCCUGGCAGAGUGGUGCUGGAAUUGGGAGAAGGCACAAGGAACAAACUAAUUGGGACGGAAACGUGACAGCUCAGCAGCAGUGGAGAGGCAGCUAGACGCUGUGCUGUAGGAGGGGAUGAGGGGCCUUGUGGUGGGUGACAGCUUGAGAAGAACAAACUACUCCCUGGGGAGAGGAAAGCAGCGUUUCAGAUGUCUGCAAAACCAGCAUUUGUCCUCCUGGUGAGAGUGGGUGUGAGGGCCUGUCUGCAGAGUCUGGCCCUGUUCCAAACACUGAAAAACAUCAUCCUUGUUCCAAAGAGCUUAUGGUCAAAACCAAAGGAAGACAAAAACGAGUUCAAAAGAAACAUGAUAAAUUUAAGAGCAUACAAUCUUCAUAAUGUCAUUAAUAGUAAAUAAUGAUUUGCCUGACCUUGGCACUGCUCCCAGGAAGUCACACCAGGAUCAAGAAUGCGACAGGAUGACGCACUACUCACAGAGAUUGUGUCAAGCACCACCUGGUUCCUGUUAGCAGAACGCCUUGCUGACAUGGCUUAUUCACUUGACUGAAAACUCAUGGAUUCACUGCCUGGAUGGGGCUUCAUGGAACCACUUCUAAACCUUAAAGGUUUCAAAAUGUUUAAUAAAUUAAAGAAGGGAGAAAAAUAGAGCUCAAUAAAAUCUAUAAAAUGUGGCUUUUCCCUAACAUUUUAUAAAUUAAAUAUGUUAAAUUAUGCUCACCAGACUCAUUUUUCUUUUUUUCUUGUUUGUUUUUCCUUCUGCCUAUGGGAUGGCUAUGGAAACUAUUGUUAGGUAUACACAAAUAUUGUCAGUGCUCCUUUGCUUUUCCUCAAGGACCUUGAUAUUGCUUGUGAAGAAGCAUUUUGAAUGCUGGAAUUCGUCCUGCAGCCUCACUGACCCUUCUGCUUUGCCUGCUAUUGCUGCAAGAUGAGAUUUUAACCUUGUGGAUGAGCAACAUUGAGAAGGCAUUUUGGACUGCUACCGAAGGAAUGUGUGUAUAUGUGUGGUGUGUGCCUGCGCUCACCUAAGUAAGUCAUAUAUGUGUGACCUUUUCUGUCUGCAUAUCUUCCUACUGAUAGUCCCACACUGUUUUCAUUGCUACACAUGCAUGGUUUUAGCAAUGCUAAAAUGCAGCUUGAAUGACUGUGGGUGGCUGUAGAGCCCACUGAUAAUAAUUUGUGUCUCCCAAGGAGUCAUUCCAUGGUCCUGAGCUGACCUGUGAGCAGAAAAGCUCUAUUCUAAGUGGCACAUAUUUUGGUGGAACUCCACUGAUUCCAGCUUGUUGUCUUUUGUUGUGCAAAGGAAACUGCUGUAGAUUUUUAUGAUUGAGAUCAAUGCAUUCAAUGAACCUCUGCUCGUUCAAAUUCAUACCGUAAAGCUUCUCUGUGUAACAAGUAAAUGAGAGGAACAUGGUUCAUCAAGUAUCUCCAUUCACACUAUUUUCUGAUGAUAUAAACACAUCUCACCAAGUUACUUUUUCAAGAGAAAAUACAAUACUCUCUGGCCAUCAGCAAGCAAUUAUGAAAUCAACUGUUUCUUCUAUUCUUUAAAAAUACAAUUUGUAGCUUAUUAUUCAAAUCAGAAAUAUGAGGAGGAGCGCAUAAUUCCUUCCAAGGCCUGAAGACAUCUUACUGUAAGCUCAAAACUCAUGAAAACCUAACAAAAUUAAAACAAUCCUAAAUAAUGACAGCUGAUGUCCUCUGAAAGGCAGCACUUCUGCAGGAAACUGUGAAAAAACAAAGACUGACCCGCCACCUCGACUAACAAAACACCUUGGGACACGUGACCAAGGGGCUGUUACGCGGGUACAAAAGGUUGUAAGCACGUACAAUGAAGGGUCUUCGUCCUGCACUAGCAACGGAGUCCGUGCCUCAGUUGCCACAAAUGGCGGCCGAA